GUCUUAACUGGGCGUUAAGUUGCAGGGUAUAGACCCGAAACCCGGUGAUCUAGCCAUGGGCAGGUUGAAGGUUGGGUAACACUAACUGGAGGACCGAACCGACUAAUGUUGAAAAAUUAGCGGAUGACUUGUGGCUGGGGGUGAAAGGCCAAUCAAACCGGGAGAUAGCUGGUUCUCCCCGAAAGCUAUUUAGGUAGCGCCUCGUGAAUUCAUCUCCGGGGGUAGAGCACUGUUUCGGCAAGGGGGUCAUCCCGACUUACCAACCCGAUGCAAACUGCGAAUACCGGAGAAUGUUAUCACGGGAGACACACGGCGGGUGCUAACGUCCGUCGUGAAGAGGGAAACAACCCAGACCGCCAGCUAAGGUCCCAAAGUCAUGGUUAAGUGGGAAACGAUGUGGGAAGGCCCAGACAGCCAGGAUGUUGGCUUAGAAGCAGCCAUCAUUUAAAGAAAGCGUAAUAGCUCACUGGUCGAGUCGGCCUGCGCGGAAGAUGUAACGGGGCUAAACCAUGCACCGAAGCUGCGGCAGCGACACUGUGUGUUGUUGGGUAGGGGAGCGUUCUGUAAGCCUGUGAAGGUGUGCUGUGAGGCAUGCUGGAGGUAUCAGAAGUGCGAAUGCUGACAUAAGUAACGAUAAAGCGGGUGAAAAGCCCGCUCGCCGGAAGACCAAGGGUUCCUGUCCAACGUUAAUCGGGGCAGGGUGAGUCGACCCCUAAGGCGAGGCCGAAAGGCGUAGUCGAUGGGAAACAGGUUAAUAUUCCUGUACUUGGUGUUACUGCGAAGGGGGGACGGAGAAGGCUAUGUUGGCCGGGCGACGGUUGUCCCGGUUUAAGCGUGUAGGCUGGUUUUCCAGGCAAAUCCGGAAAAUCAAGGCUGAGGCGUGAUGACGAGGCACUACGGUGCUGAAGCAACAAAUGCCCUGCUUCCAGGAAAAGCCUCUAAGCAUCAGGUAACAUCAAAUCGUACCCCAAACCGACACAGGUGGUCAGGUAGAGAAUACCAAGGCGCUUGAGAGAACUCGGGUGAAGGAACUAGGCAAAAUGGUGCCGUAACUUCGGGAGAAGGCACGCUGAUAUGUAGGUGAAGUCCCUCGCGGAUGGAGCUGAAAUCAGUCGAAGAUACCAGCUGGCUGCAACUGUUUAUUAAAAACACAGCACUGUGCAAACACGAAAGUGGACGUAUACGGUGUGACGCCUGCCCGGUGCCGGAAGGUUAAUUGAUGGGGUCAGCGCAAGCGAAGCUCUUGAUCGAAGCCCCGGUAAACGGCGGCCGUAACUAUAACGGUCCUAAGGUAGCGAAAUUCCUUGUCGGGUAAGUUCCGACCUGCACGAAUGGCGUAAUGAUGGCCAGGCUGUCUCCACCCGAGACUCAGUGAAAUUGAACUCGCUGUGAAGAUGCAGUGUACCCGCGGCAAGACGGAAAGACCCCGUGAACCUUUACUAUAGCUUGACACUGAACAUUGAGCCUUGAUGUGUAGGAUAGGUGGGAGGCUUUGAAGUG
rnacentral:rRNA from 1 species